rnacentral:snoRNA from 1 species
UGGACCAAAGAGGACAAUGUAUCAUGAACCAAGGAUUAUGAUUAAUCCAACUCUGAACAAUUAGAAUGUUUAAC